GCAGUAAAGUUGUGAUUCAGAGAAUAUGCAUGGAGGAUUUAUAUGAACAAAAUCUAAACUUGGAAAGUCAGCUCCACUUCCUUAAGUGGCUGGGUUUCCCCCAGAGAGUGGUGUCCAUGGCAUGGAACCAGGAGGAGAGGUCAAAAGAGGCAAGAUAUGAAGUGUGUCAUCAGUGGUGGGUUGCUCCCGGUUCGGUCUGGUUCUUGCGAAACAGUAGUAAUGCCGGUAGGAGGCUCCGCCCACCCGGCCGGACAUCAUCACUGACAAUCUGCACACGUGCAGAAGCGUGUGCUCCGGUUGCAAACCGGUAGCGGAGCUGCAGUGCAGAUUCUCACCGUGGUCCCAUCAACUGCAACAUAAACCUUGGAUCGACUGGAAUAGACCUCAAUGUCCAGAACUUUUCUGCUAUUGAUAGGCCGCCGAGGGAUCUCUAGCUUCUGCAAACUUUCAUCUAGGAAAUGAGACAGCACCAUAUUUCAGAUUCUUAUGGACAUACGUUUAAUGCUUUUAUCCUGUAGUAAUCUCUCCAUAAAUUAUGAUCAUUCUGAAAGGCCUUCUGUAUGCAGAUGGCCCUCAGUUAGCAACUACCUCCGACAGUGACCAUUCACUGUUAUGACAGUAAUGAAAAAAUAACUUUGUGACCAUUUCUCACAUUUACGACCUUCUCGGGUUUAUAAAACAAAGGAAAGCUGAAAUAAGAUUGUAAGCAUAGUUGGGAUGUCACUUAGUGACUGCUUUGCUUAAAAACCAAAUUGCCAGUCCCAAAUGUGAUUGCCAAACGAGGACUAGCUUUUAUACCACGAGGUAUGGUGAGGUUAAUUCAUGAAAGCACAGAUAGAACAUUUGAUGUGGAAGCAUGUAGAAUUAUCUCCCAAAGGACAUCAUGUUAUCUAUAUAAAAAACAAACUAACAUUUUCCUUCCAUUUAGCUUUUAACAGCCUGCAGCAUUAAAGACUUCAACUGAGUAUUACUUGAUUUUAAAAUUCUAGUUGUAAUGAUUACCUAGUUAAACUACUUUUAGUUUUAGACUAGUCAGUUUUCAUUUGUAAAUACAAGAAAUCCAGUUCUUCCAGUUCUUCUUCCCUUUGACAAAAAAAUUGACAGAAGUCAGAAUAUAAACCAUGGCCUACUUGCUUAAUUUUACCUGAAAAUGUUUAAGAUCUGGAAGGUAUCACCAGUCCAUUGUUACAUAUAUUUCCUGAAGAAAUAGUGUCUUUCUCUUUCUAAACUAUCAAAAACUAUUUUGUGAGCAAAACUAUCAAAAAUUUAGACCAUGUUCAAUGCUGCUAUAACUAGGAAUAUGGGAUGGGAUUCACUGGUCAGUAAUGUUGCGUGGAAAAUUCCAUUCUCCAAUCACAGAACAGUCUACAUUUCCUAGAACAUUCCAUUUCUCCCAGAAAGUGACUAUAAAUCACACAGUACAUUCUAAUACCACCAUCUAAUCACAUUUCCUGCUCACCAUAAUCCUGAGCUGAUUCUUCUUCUUCACUAGCUGCUCUUCUAGUGUCCAAGAUCAACUUUAUGUUCACAAUAACAGUUACCAGCAAGAAAAGGACUGCCCCCAUCUGUAAGACAAAAGUCUCCUUUAUUAGAUUAGGAAAAAAUAGAUUUGGAAAACCUGAUGCUUAAAAUGCCUACAUGAUGAAAACAUAGAUUUUUAUGCUAGACAUAACAGGAAGGACACAGCACUGGAAAAGUGAAUGACAAGAGUUUUUGGACUUCUUUGUCGAACUCUCCCAUUGUUCUUUUGGGAUGAAAUUUAGUUCCUGCUUCCACUUACCCCUAUUUUCUUCUUUUUAAAAAAUGUCUCAUUUUGUGUAUUGGCAGGCUUUUUUAUCCUUGUGUAUCAUGUACUUCCUUUAUUGGUGGUGGACUUUAGGAGAAACCCUCCCAUACUGCCACCUCUUACAAUACUAGACAACACAGUAUCAACAGUAGAGACCUUCAAAUUUCUAGGUUCUAUCAUAUUGCAAGACCAAAAAUGGAUACCUAACAUCAAAAACGUCAUCAAAAAGCACAACAAAGAAUGUUCUUUCUGUGCCAACUCAGGAAGCUCAAACUGCCCAAGGAGCUGCUGAUCCAGUUCUACAGAGGAAUUAUUGAGUCUGUCAUCUGCACCUCCAAAACUGCCUGGUUUGGCUCUGCAACCAAACCAGACAGACACAGACUUCAAAGGAUAAUUAGAACUGCAGAAAAAACAAUUACUACCAACCUGCCUUCCAUUGAGGACCUGUAUACUACACGAGUCAAAAAGGGCUGUGAAAAUAUUUACAGAUGCAUUCUGGACAUAAAUUGUUUCAACUCCUUCCCUCAAAAUGACACUAUAGAGCACUGCAUACCAAGACAACUAGACACAAGAACAGCUUUUUCCCAAACGCCAUCACUCUGCUAAACAAAUAAUUCCCUCAAGCUGUCAAAGUAUUCACUAAGGCUGCAUUACUAUUACUAUUCGUCUUCUCACCGUUCCUAUCACCCAUCUUCUCCCACUUAUGACGGCAUGACUAUAACUUUGUUGCUUGUAUCCUUACGAUUUAUAUUGAUAUUGUUUCCUGAGUGCUUAUUUGUACCCUAUGACUAUCAUUAAGUGUUGCACCUUAUGAUUCUUGACAAAUGUAUCUUGUCUUUUUAUAUUCACUGAGAGCAUAUGCACCAAAGACAAAUUCCUUGUGUGUCCAAUCACACUUGGCCAAUAAAGAAUGCUAUGCUAUGCUAUUCUAUGCUAUUCUAUGCUAUUCUAUGCUAUUCUAUUCUAUUCUAUUCUAUUCUAUUCUAUUCUAUUCUAUUCUAUUCUAUUCUAUUCUAGGAUGAAAUAGUGGAAAAUAUUCAGUGUCCUGCACGUUAUAUCCAGAUUUCUACAGUAAGUAGCCAGUUGUUUAUUCCUUAAAACCAAAUGUUGACUUUUGGUGAUAGAAAUAAAUUUUUGGAUUAAGCGUCACAUGACAUAAAUA